rnacentral:rRNA from 1 species
UACAGAGGUGGCGAGCGUUGUUCGGAAUCAUUGGGCGUAAAGGGUGCGUAGGUGGUGAGGUAAGUUCGAUGUGAAAUCUCCGGGCUCAACCCGGAAAAGGCAUUGAAUACUAUCUUGCUCGAGUAAGGGAGAGGAAAGUGGAAUUCCUGGUGUAGAGGUGAAAUUCGUAGAUAUCAGGAGGAACACCGGUGGCGAAGGCGACUUACUGGACUGUAACUGACGCUGAGUCACGAAAGCGUGGGUAGCAAACAGG